rnacentral:ncRNA from 21 species
AUAUUUGAUAAAAAAUACGGUUUCGCGGUUCUUGCCGCGAAUUAAAAGGGAAUCCGGUCAAAAUCCGGAACAACCGCCAUUACUGUGUUUGACGUAAGAGAGUCCGAUCCAUUGGAGCUUUCCGAGAAGGCGACUCUUCCCGUGAUGUAUGGGAUCAUAAGUCAGGAGACCUGCCGUAUUUUUAUGGUUAAAC